ensembl:lncRNA
AUGGCAUCUGCCUCUCCAGGAACUCAGUUGACGGACUGCAACAUCCACGGCUGUAAAGGAAGGACGUUAUUCAUUCCAACCCCGUGUUGCUGCAGUCGGCUCUCUCGAGUGUCACUGUCUGCUGGCAAAGAGAGAACCUGGAUAUGGGAGGCCGCCUUGAGGUCCCAGCAGCAGCUGCAGAGAUGGCACUCCCAGCACCUCCAGGGCCACCACCUCCCGGGUCCCAGCACCUCGAGGGUCCCCAGCACCUCAGGUCCCACCACCUCCCGAGGGUCCCAGCACCUCCGAGGGUCCCAGCACCUCCAAAUCCCAGCACCUCCGGAUCCCAGCAUCUCCGGAUCCCAGCACCUCCAAAUCCCAGCACCUCUGGAUUCCAGCCUCUGGGUCCCCGGCACCUCUGGGUCCCAGCAUCUCCUGGUCCCAGCACCUCUGGGUCCCAGCACCUCCAAGUCCCAGCACCUCCGAAUCCCAGACCUCCAUCCAUCUCCAUCCAUCUCCAUCCACCUCCAUCCGCACCUCCGUUCCACCUCAAAUCCCCAGCACCUCCAGGUCCCACCACCUCCGGGUCCCAGCACCUCCGGGUCCCAGCACCUCCAAAUCCCAGCACCUCCGGAUCCCAGCAUCUCCUGGUCCCAGUGCCUCCAAAUCCCAGCACCUCUGGAUUCCAGCGCCUCUGGGUCCCAGCACCUCUGGGUCCCAGCAUCUCCUGGUCCCAGCACCUCCGGGUCCCAGCACCUCCAAGUCCCAGCACCUCCGAAUCCCAGCACCUCCAAAUCCCAGCACCUCCAAAUCCCAGCAUCUCCAAAUCCCAGCAUCUCCAAAUCCCAGCAUCUUGGUCCCCUCCAUCCCAGUCCAUCCAUCCCUCCAGAUUCCUCCAAAUCCAUCUCCACCUCCAAAUCCACCUCUGGGUCCCAACAUCCAAAUCCCUUUGUCCUACAGGUCCCAGCAUCUCCUGGCCCUCCAAAUCCACCUCCGGGUCCCAGCAUCUCCAAAUCCCAGCAUCUACAGGUCCCUUUCCUCCGGGUCCCUCCGGUCCCAUCUCCUGGUCCCAGCACAUCCUGGGUCCCAGCCUCCAAAUCCCAGCACAUCUCAGGUCCCAGCACCUCCAGAUCCCAGCACUCCGGUUCCGGCGCCUCCGGUCCCAGCACCUCCAAAUCCCAGCACCUCCGGGUCCCAGCACCUCCGGGUCCCAGCACCUCCGGGUUCCAGCCACCCACGUGUCUCUCCACACAUUCCAAUUUGCCCAUAAUUCUCAGGGCUCAGAUUCACAGCAAUCCUAAAACUGUUGGCAAAUUAUCUGAGAUGCUGUCUCCAUGGCAGGCCACGAUAGCGGGUUCUAUUCCAACCCGAUAA